UAGUCCACGCCGUAAACGAUGGUCACUAGUUGUUGGGGCUUUAUGCCUCAGUGAUUAAGAGAAAUUGAUAAGUGACCCACCUGGGGAGUACGAUCGCAAGAUUGAAACUCAAAGGAAUUGACGGGGGCCCGCACAAGCGGUGGAGCAUGUGGUUUAAUUCGAUGAUACGCGAGGAACCUUACCAGGGCUUAAAUGUAAGUUGCAUGAUUUAGAGAUAGAUCUUUCUUCGGACUACUUACAAGGUGCUGCAUGGUUGUCGUCAGCUCGUGCCGUGAGGUGUCAGGUUAAGUCCUAUAACGAGCGCAACCCCUACCGUUAGUUGCCAGCAUGUUAUGAUGGGGACUCUAGCGGGACUGCCGGUGCAAACCGNGAGGAAGGUGGGGAUGACGUCAAAUCAUCACGGCCCUUACGUCCAGGGGCUACACACGUGCUACAAUGGGUCGGUACAAAGGGGCAGCUACCUGGUGACAGGGAUGCUAAUCUCGAAAGCCGGGCUCAGUUCGGAUCGAA
rnacentral:rRNA from 1 species